UACGUAGGGUGCAAGCGUUGUCCGGAAUUAUUGGGCGUAAAGAGCUCGUAGGCGGCUUGUCACGUCUGCUGUGAAAACUCGGGGCUCAACCCCGAGCCUGCAGUGGAUACGGGCUAGCUAGAGUGCGGUAGGGGAGACUGGAAUUCCUGGUGUAGCGGUGAAAUGCGCAGAUAUCAGGAGGAACACCGAUGGCGAAGGCGGGUCUCUGGACCGAUACUGACGCUGAGGAGCGAAAGCGUGGGGAGCGAACAGG
rnacentral:rRNA from 1 species